rfam:Nasonia vitripennis chromosome 3 unlocalized genomic scaffold Chr3_random003, whole genome shotgun sequence.
GUAGACGUUAGCUCAGUGGUUAGAGCACAGGCCUCUGGCUCUCGGGUCCGCGAGUUCGAGUCCCGUCCUCUACU